ACACUUAGAUUUCGGCUCCAAUGAGCUCUUACACAAUUUCUUCAAAUCUCAACUCACUUGAAGGCUUUAUCACUCAAAUAAUAAGUUUAAGUCUCUCAAUCUAGCUCAACAAUGGCUCAAAUACAACUCAAGACUAUGAUGAAUCACAAAGGUGCACUAAAGAAUAUGCAAAUGGAGAUUUAAUGCACCAAGAAAAGAAUGAGACCUUUUAAGG
rnacentral:lncRNA from 1 species